CCUACGGGUGGCAGCAGUGAGGAAUAUUGGUCAAUGGACGAGAGUCUGAACCAGCCAAGUAGCGUGAAGGAUGACUGCCCUAUGGGUUGUAAACUUCUUUUAUAUGGGAAUAAAAUGUUCCACGUGUGGGAUUUUGUAUGUACCAUAUGAAUAAGGAUCGGCUAACUCCGUGCCAGCAGCCGCGGUAAUACGGAGGAUCCGAGCGUUAUCCGGAUUUAUUGGGUUUAAAGGGAGCGUAGGUGGAUUGUUAAGUCAGUUGUGAAAGUUUGCGGCUCCACCGUAAAAUUGCAGUUGAAACUGGCAGUCUUGAGUACAGUAGAGGUGGGCGGAAGUCGUGGUGUAGCGGUGAAAUGCUUAGAUAUCACGAAGAACUCCGAUUGCGAAGGCAGUUCACUGGACUGCAACUGACACUGAGGCUCGAAAGUGUGGGUAUCAAACAGGAUUAGAUACCCUUGUAGUC
rnacentral:rRNA from 1 species